GAAACCAAAGCAUAAGUGGCCCCGAACCUAAACGGCAGGGCUUUGGUCGUUUAGGUUCGGGGUCCUUAUGCGUAGGUUUCUGGG
rnacentral:sRNA from 1 species